GAUGAACGCUGGCGGCGUGCCUAAUACAUGCAAGUCGAGCGAACAGAUAAGGAGCUUGCUCCUUUGACGUUAGCGGCGGACGGGUGAGUAACACGUGGGUAACCUACCUAUAAGACUGGGAUAACUUCGGGAAACCGGAGCUAAUACCGGAUAACAUUUGGAACCGCAUGGUUCUAAAGUGAAAGAUGGUUUUGCUAUCACUUAUAGAUGGACCCGCGCCGUAUUAGCUAGUUGGUAAGGUAACGGCUUACCAAGGCAACGAUACGUAGCCGACCUGAGAGGGGGAUCGGCCACACUGGAACUGAGACACGGUCCAGACUCCUACGGGAGGCAGCAGUAGGGAAUCUUCCGCAAUGGGCGAAAGCCUGACGGAGCAACGCCGCGUGAGUGAUGAAGGGUUUCGGCUCGUAAAACUCUGUUAUUAGGGAAGAACAAAUGUGUAAGUAACUGUGCACGUCUUGACGGUACCUAAUCAGAAAGCCACGGCUAACUACGUG
rnacentral:rRNA from 1 species